UUCGGAAAACAAACACAAUCAGAAACCUGAGUUUUCAGCUUAAAAUCAAAACCAUGGCAACAACAAUUUUAUGCAAUAAUCAUGGGGUUUGCGUUCUAUGAGACGAUAUAAACAAAGAGGUAACAUCAAAUCAUGCAAAAGGGAAGUGUUAAAUACCAAAUCGGAGCUAGUCCGACGUUCGAAUUCCGGCGAGGUGAGGUAAAUGAUCUUUAGCGUCUUUCGAGGUUCUUUCUUCCUCUCGAACUUUCCGUCUUCUUCGCUUCCUCUUCCUCUCCGUUCUUUUUUAACGAUUCGGGUUUGUCUUGGUUUUGACAGGGGCUUAGCUCGAGCUUGUUGAGCUUCGGUGUGAAAAUCUCAACAAGUUCAAAACGGAGCUUUUUAAUGAGGGUUUUGGAGUGAUUUUUCC
rnacentral:lncRNA from 1 species